AUUGAACGCUGGCGGCAGGCUUAACACAUGCAAGUCGAACGAGUGGCGGACGGGUGAGUAAUGUCUGGGAAACUGCCCGAUGGAGGGGGAUAACUACUGGAAACGGUAGCUAAUACCGCAUACCAUCGGAUGUGCCCAGAUGGGAUUAGCUAGUAGGUGGGGUAAAGGCUCACCUAGGCGACGAUCGCUAGCUGGUCUGAGAGGAUGAUCAGCCAAACUGGGACUGAGACACGGCCCAGACUCCUACGGGAGGCAGGAGUGGGGAAUAUUGCACAAUGGGCGCAAGCCUGAUGCAGCCAUGCCGCGUGUAUGAAGAAGGCCUUAGGGUUGUAAAGUACUUUCAGCGGGGAGGCGUGAAGGGAAGAAGAAGCACCGGCUAACUCCGUGCCAGCAGCCGCGGUAAUAG
rnacentral:rRNA from 1 species